rnacentral:rRNA from 1 species
UUGGGAAUCUUGCGCAAUGGGGGCAACCCUGAUGCAGCGACGCCGCGUGGGUGAUGAAGGUUUUCGGAUCGUAAAGCCCUUUUCUGCAUGACGAGCCAAGGACGGUAGUGCAGGAAUAAGUGUCGGCUAACUACGUGCCAGCAGCCGCGGUAAAACGUAGGACACAAGCGUUAUCCGGAAUUACUGGGCGUAAAGGGCGUGCAGGCGGUUGCGUAAGUUAGGCGUGAAAGACUUCGGCUAAACCGGGGGAGGUCGUCUGAUACUGCGCAACUAGAGUAUGGUAGAGGCGUGUAGAAUUCCGGGUGUAGUGGUGAAAUGCGUAGAGAUCCGGAGGAAUACCAGUGGCGAAGGCGGCACGCUGGGCCAUAACUGACGCUAAGACGCGAAAGCGUGGGGAGCAAACAGGAUUAGAUACCCAAGUAGUCCCUGAGCGGGCUGGCAAGGCGCAU